rnacentral:rRNA from 1 species
GCUUAAAUCAGUCGAAGAUACCAGCUGGCUGCAUCUGUUUAUUAAAAACACAGCACUGUGCAAACACGUACGUGGACGUAUACGGUGUGAUGCCUGCCCGGUGCCGGCCGGUUAAUUGAUGGGGUUAGCGGUAAGCGAAGCUCUUGAUCUGAAGCUCCGGUAAACGGCGGCCGUAACUAUAACGGUCCUAAGGUAGCGAAAUUCCUUGUCGGGUAAGUUCCGACCCGCACGAAAGGUGUAACGAUUUGGGCACUGUCUCAACCAGAGACUCGGUGAAAUUAUAGUACCUGUGAAGAUGCAGGUUACCCGCGACAGGACGGAAAGACCCCGUGGAGCUUUACUGUAGCCUGAUAUUGAAUUUUGGUAC